CGUGAGAUGUUGGGUUAAGUCCCGCAACGAGCGCAACCCCUAUUGUUAGUUGCUACGCAAGAGCACUCUAGCGAGACUGCCGUUGACAAAACGGAGGAAGGUGGGGACGACGUCAAAUCAUCAUGCCCCUUAUGUCCUGGGCUACACACGUAAUACAAUGGCGUCCAACAAAGGGAAGCAAAACCGCGAGGUAGAGCAAAUCCCCAAAGACGUCUCAGUUCGGAUUGCAGGCUGCAACUCGCCUGUA
rnacentral:rRNA from 1 species